UUAAUAUUACUCAAAUAUUUUAAUAAAUGUUAAUUUAAAUUAAAAAAAAAAUAGCCCAUUCAAAACACACGCCAUUCCCAGCAGGCACUGUCCUACCCCGGCCAUGGCCUCCAGUGCUUGAGUUGGCAAAUACGCCUCCCAGAAGGCUGGUCACCUUGGCUAGAUUCCCCACUCUCCUUCCUUCCCAGCCGGUGACCAAGCACAUCUUCGAAUCGACGCAUAAAGACUAGAGGAGGUGGAUGGGGAGUGUGGCUGUGGUCCCUUCCUAGCGGACGAGGCUGGUCUGUGGCGUGGGCAUGGGGCCGGAGCCCUCUGCUCCCUCCGAGCUGGUCCCUGCAUCACGAGGCGCGUGCAGGGUGUGCCCAGCAGGGCCAGAGAGGCCCGCCUUCGUGUGAUUUUACCUCCACCCCGCCCGUCUUUCCACCAGGGCAAAGCCUUCCCGGAUUUAGCAGAAGGUUGACCCUCUGCCGUGGUGGUCAGCAUUCACGCGUUCUGUGUUGCCCGUUUAUGUGUCUUGUUUAGGACAGAUUGGAAGAGGCGGGGUCAGCAUGGCCGGCCAAGGCCGUCUUCAAGGCCUGCUUGAUUUGUUGAGGUUCCCCUGAGGCUGUAUUCUUUCUUCAGACUAUUGGUGUCUGAACCAGAUCAUGGCAAAUGCUGGUCUGGGAGGAUCAGGCAUGAGUGGCCUCACAGAAGGGAGGAUCCUGGACGGCCCUUCUUUGCAGGAUGUACCGUUUGAAGCCCGGUGCUCUGACCACGUGAACCACCUUCCAGCCCAGUUCCAAACCAGCUACUCAGGAGCGGCCACACGCGCAGCCAGGAGGCGCCACCUAGAUGCUGAAAAGUAGACGUGGGUGCCUGAGGCACUGCCGUCUCCUGCCUGGGUGGCCAGCAGGCCCCUGCACCUUUCCCGGUACAGAGAUGUCCCACAAAUGGGCGGUGGACAGUGGCGAUGGGACCACUACCCAGAAGACUCCACCAGAGGCGGGAGGGAGCUAUCAAAGUACUAGAAUAAAAUGUAAGAAAAAUUUGCUUGUAAAUCCUAGGACGGGGAACAUCAUCAGAAGCAAAGAACCAGAAACCAGAAACGUGGCCGGGGCAGGGACAGAGAGGGAGAGAAGCCCAGAGCAAAGCCGAUGACUUAGAGAAGGUAUUUGGGACAUAUAAAUAGGCAAAGAGAAUUCUGAAGUCAUGAUAACCAUAAACAAUCUUUCAGCAUCUCUGCAAAAAGUCCCUGGAACUGCUGAAAUGACUGUGGUUUGUCGCCUAUCUUCAUAAUGGAAGGAAACGCUAAACUUUGUGGAAGUUAGUGGAAGUAAAGAUGGGAUUUGUUUCCUGUUCAAGUUCACGGGCUGCCACCGAGGUUGAAGACAUGCUGGAGAAUACUGUGUCCUUGAAAGUUUGGUUUACAAAAGCUGGGGCGCUGGGGAUGCAGCAGUAAUCCAAGCAGACAAGCCUCCUCCUCAAGGCUUGUGGUCUGAAUGUCCAUCUACUCUUGCUGAUUUGCAAAACCUCAUCGCAUACUGAGAAGGUGAACCCUUUGUGGCAGGACACUUUCUGUCUCCCCUGGUGUCUGCAGCCCCAUGCCAGCCUGGGUCCUGCUGGUCCCACAGUCGUGGAAGAAGGCAGUGAAGAGCUCGGUCCCUUGUAGGAGGGAACGUGUCAGUGCCUCUGACUGUUGUGGUUCAUUCUGACUCUACCACCCAGACCUUCUCCGUUCAUCAUGUCCUUGUCCUGUCCCCAUUGUCAUCUGGAAUGGUGACAAGCUUUUACUGCGCCCUGGCUGGGUGUUGGCCAAAGGGCUCAGCCCUUGCAGUCCAGUCCCUCUGGCACUGCCUCGGUGGCCCCAGCCUGUCCCUUUCCUGUCCCUGCGCCGGGUGAAUGGCUCCCCUGCCUGCACUGCACAUGCCACGUGGACCCAAGAGGCACCGGGUACACACAGGCGUCCAGUUUCCCCAGCCAUGUGGGUCCACCUGUGGACCAUGAGGUGAUCUGAGAACAGCAGGGAUGAAGCACUCGGGAGCAGCUCUUUGCCGGCCUCCUGUAUGUUGCAAAGGCCCCGGGGACAUGAUCCUCUGCCCUUGGUUUCGGGUCUGUGAACCGGUGACAUUGGUUGUAUCCUGAGCUCCAGCUGAUACUGGGCCGGACAGACCAGUUUCCAUCUCGCAGCCUGUCCAGGUGGCCUGGCUGAGCCAGGCCCCUCGAGCCCUGGGGCACGUGCCCUCCUGACUUGGCUGGGAGGGGGGUAUGGUGGUUCUCACUCCAUCCAGAUGGCCUCGCUCGCUCUUCCUCUCUCUCUCUCUCUCUCAUUAAUUCCUGAAGGUCUCUGAAGCCUAAAUCGGGAAAAAACAGAGGGUUUGGAGACAGGAGACUUUGUUUGGCAUCGGGCCCUGGUCCUUCCAGCCUUGUGACCUUGGGCCGGUCACCUGCCCCCUGCAAACUGAAGUGUUGUCACCCGAGAGAGGGGAGCCAGAUCCAGCACAGAGCCCCCUGGGUCGGCCAGACAGGAUCCUGUGACAGGUGUCCCUCGACCCUCCGGUGCCACAUAACAAGUAAUUAAGAUGACAUUUGUGAGUACUAAUUUGGAUCACACUUAUGUGUAUGUGUUGGAGAGCUGCAAGCCAAAACAUGCAAAACCAGCCUUUCAUUGAGGAGCAAAUGAAAACUACAGAAUGAAACGGAGUGGUGCUGCUGAAAAGGCACAGGAGCUGAGCACAGCUGCAAAAAUCAGAGCCCCGGUGCUGACGGCGCAUCUCAUUAGAGCCCUGCCGUUGGCCACACCUCCGUGCGGCCCAGGGGCCGGCGCAGUGCAUGGGGCCUGUCACACCACGGCCGUGGACCUGCCGUUGGCAACGGUGUCCCUCAGGUCCGGGUUCAGUGGCACUGGUGUCCGGAGCCCUGGUGCCUGCCCGUCCAACCGGAGCUUUCUGAGCUGGAUCUUGUCCCGGUGGAGCACGGUGACAGGGACAGAGGAGCACAUGUCUGGAGUAGCCAGAAUGCUUGCCCUCUACCUGCCAGUCCUCCAGUUCAGAGGCAGGGGCUGAGGCAGGAGGGCCUGGAGCAG